rnacentral:rRNA from 1 species
CCUACGGGGGGCAGCAGUGGGGAAUAUUGGACAAUGGGGGGAACCCUGAUCCAGCCAUGCCGCGUGUGUGAAGAAGGCCCUCGGGUUGUAAAGCACUUUCAGUGAGGAAGAACGCCUGGUGGUUAAUACCCAUCAGGAAAGACAUCACUCACAGAAGAAGCACCGGCUAACUCCGUGCCAGCAGCCGCGGUAAUACGGAGGGUGCGAGCGUUAAUCGGAAUUACUGGGCGUAAAGCGCGCGUAGGUGGCUUGAUAAGCCGGUUGUGAAAGCCCCGGGCUCAACCUGGGAACGGCAUCCGGAACUGUCAAGCUAGAGUGCAGAAGAGGAAGGUAGAAUUCCCGGUGUAGCGGUGAAAUGCGUAGAGAUCGGGAGGAAUACCAGUGGCGAAGGCGGCCUUCUGGACUGACACUGACACUGAGGUGCGAAAGCGUGGGUAGCAAACAGGAUUAGAUACCCGAGUAGUC